rnacentral:tmRNA from 1 species
ACCCUUGAUCCCCGGGACGCGCUCCCCUACCUAACGGGUGUCCCCUCGGGGACUAUGGCGAUAAACGCACCUGUAAUAAGCGGCUCGGACCCGGGGGCGGUACCCGGCGGCUCCACCAAGAUCCUCGUUGGGGACAUUUGGGGCCGAAAUAGGAUCGACGAACGUCUAAAGAGGCCAGCUUUCGCUCGGUGAGGUACCACCGUUAUCGGUCCGAAACGUACAGUUGCCAACGACAACCGUGCUCCGGUGGCGAUGGCUGCGUAAGCAGUCGGAUCUACCGAAACUUAAGUCCUUGCGCCUAGCAGUGUAAGGCGGGGUUCGCAGGCACCUGGCAACAGAAGCCUGCACU